AGCUGGCACCCAGCAGCUGAGACUCCAGCAAAACGUGAAGCACCCCGGAGCCUCCCCUUGCUCCACCACAAGCACCUUCCGCGGCCGGGUGGGGAGCUGGGAAGCCGAGGGGGGCUGCGGCUCAGAGGCAGUUGCGUAGAGGUAAACACCAGCCGUCCUCAGCAGGUCAAAUCCCUCGAGACAUCGGCAGCUCCACCCUCGGAGGCCAGCGAAGGGGAACAGUUCAUAAUUAAUGCCUGCAAGAUUUUACGCUCGUCCGGGAGCCGCUAACAACCCUUGAAGGCUGGUAAACAUCGCAGAGAGCAAUUACGAGCGUACUCUGCCUUGGAGGAAGCCUGCCAAAACGGGGAUCGCGUUUUCCAAAGGGUGGAGAAACUCCGUCCUAGGCCAGGCCUUGGUGACAUGUGAAGUCAAGGUUGCCAAACGCUUUUGUUACAAAUCUCAGCUUCAGGUUCCCUUGAUAUCAACACCUGUGGUCUGAUUUUCCGAAGCAUCAAAAGUCAACGUCUCUGCUUCAGUCAGUGGAAUCGGCCAGGAGCUCAGCGCUAUGCACUGUCACUGCGCAGUAAGCGUCUGAUUUUGAACGCCCCUGGAAGGAAGGUGUUGCUGCUACAAGGAGAGCUCCCACGCUGUUGUGUGCUGGUGAGCAGGCACCACUGCGUGCCCUUGCUUGGAGGCUUUUCCUUUGCUCUUCCUGGCUUGGAACUCUAGUCCUAUAAAGCAAUGGUCAUUAUGGGCCAGAUUGCUAAAAAGGCUCAGCACAGCAAGUGCUUCUGAAAGUCGAGUCAGUUCU
rnacentral:lncRNA from 1 species